UAGCCAGAGAGUUUGAUCCUGGCUCAGGAUGAACGCUGGCGGCGUGGAUAAGGCAUGCAAGUCGUGCGGGCUUCGACGCAAGUCGAGGUCAGCGGCAAACGAGUUCAUAACACGUAGGUACCUCCCCCUUAGACAGGAAUAACCAGCCGAAAGGUUGGCUAAUGCCUGAUGGUCCCGCAAGGGUAAAGCAGCAAUGCGCUGAGGGAAGGGCCUGCGGCCUAUCAGCUAGUUGGUGAGGUAAUGGCUCACCAAGGCUAUGACGGGUAGGGGGCGUGAGAGCGCGUUCCCCAACGAUGGGACUGAGACACGGCCCAUACUCCUACGGGAGGCCGCAGUCGAGAAUAUUCCACAAUGGGCGAAAGCCUGAUGGAGCGACGCCGCGUGCGGGAUGAAGGCCUUCGGGUCGUAAACCGCUUUUGCAGGGGAGGAAAUCCGCAAGGAUUGACAGUACCCUACGAAUAAGGGGGGACAAACUCUGUGCCAGCAGUAGCGGUGAAACAGAGCCCCCGAGCGUUAUCCGGAUUUACUGGGCGUAAAGCGUCCGUAGCCGGUCUGGAAAGUCUCGGGUUAAAUACCAAGGACUCAAUCUUUGGGGUGCCCGAGAAACUGACAGACUAGAGGGUGUUAGAGGCUGAUGGAACUCUUGGUGGAGGGGUGAAAUCCGUUGAUAUCAAGAGGAACACCAAAGGCGAAAGCAUUCAGCUAGAGCAACCCUGACGGUGAGGGACGAAAGCGUGGGUAGGGAAAAGGAUUAGAUACCCUUGUACUCCACGCCCUAAACGUUGGAUGCUAGCUAUGUGAAGUGUCGACCCUUCACGUGGCGUAGGUAACCCGUUAAGCAUCCCGCCUGGGAAGUACGGUCGCAAGACUAAAACUCAAAGGAAUAGGCGGGGACCCACACAAGCGGUGGAACAUGUGGCUCAAUUCGUCAACAACCGAGGAACCUUACCAGGGUUUGAAACUCAGUCGAAGAGCACCAGAAACGGUGCUCGUCUCACAAGGACGGCUGAGCAGGUGCUGCA
rfam:Candidatus Wildermuthbacteria bacterium RIFCSPHIGHO2_02_FTLL_48_16 rifcsphigho2_02_scaffold_12665, whole genome shotgun sequence.